CUACGGGGCGCUCCAGGCGAGAAAACUUUGCAAUGUGCGAAAGCACGACAAGGUUAAUCCGAGUGGUUUCUGCUAAAGGAACCUUUUGUCAGUCCUAGAAACACUGAUGAAUAAGGGGUGGGCAAGUUCUGGUGUCAGCCGCCGCGGUAAAACCAGCACCUCAAGUGGUCAGGAUGAUUAUUGGGCCUAAAGCAUCCGUAGCCGGCUCUGUAAGUUUUCGGUUAAAUCUGUACGCUCAACGUACAGGCUGCCGGGAAUACUGCAGAGCUAGGGAGUGGGAGAGGUAGACGGUACUCGGUAGGAAGGGGUAAAAUCCUUUGAUCUAUUGAUGACCACCUGUGGCGAAGGCGGUCUACCAGAACACGUCCGACGGUGAGGGAUGAAAGCUGGGGGAGCAAACCGGAUUAGAUACCCUGGUAGUC
rnacentral:rRNA from 1 species